UACGUAGGUCCCAAGCGUUAUCCGGAGUUACUGGGCGUAAAGAGUCUGUAGCCUGCUGGAUAAGUCUAAUUUUAAAAACCACGACUCAAUCGUGGGGAGGGGUUAGAUACUGUCUAGCUAGAGUAAAGAAGGGGUUAGUGGAAUUCCCGGUGGAGGGGUGAAAUCCGUUGAUAUUGGGAGGAAUGCCGAAAGCGAAAGCAGCUAACUAUUAUUUAACUGACGGUAAAGGACGAAAGCUUGGGUAG
rnacentral:rRNA from 1 species